rnacentral:rRNA from 1 species
GUAGGUGGCAGGCGUUGUCCGGAAUUAUUGGGCGUAAAGCGCGCGCAGGGCGGUCCUUUAAGUCUGAUGUGAAAGCCCACGGCUCAACCGUGGAGGGUCAUUGGAAACUGGGGGACUUGAGUACAGAAGAGGAAAGCGGAAUUCCAAGUGUAGCGGUGAAAUGCGUAGAGAUUUGGAGGAACACCAGUGGCGAAGGCGGCUUUCUGGUCUGUAACUGACGCUGAGGCGCGAAAGCGUGGGGAGCAAACAGGAUUAGAUACCCUGGUAGUCCACGCCGUAAACGAUGAGUGCUAAGUGUUAGGGGGUUUCCGCCCCUUAGUGCUGCGGCUAACGCAUUAAGCACUCCGCCUGGGGAGUACGGCCGCAAAGGCUG